GGGCGGGGCUGCGGGACGCUCAGGGCAGAAGAGGCACUUCCUGUGCCCCCCACCCCACCAGGCCUUCUAGAACAUUCCAGGCCAACGGAGGCGCCAGGCAGCCUGAGUGCGUGCGUCUUUCGGGUUCAGCUCCUGCAGGAAACCAUGAUCCUGCUUGCCCUACUGCUCGUCGUGGGGCUCCCUCUGGUGGAGAGCAAUGGCACUGCCGUUAGUGAGCAACGUUGGACCUAUAAUGUGACCUGUUCUGAAUGUUGGAGCAUCAAUACAUUCCACUGUCCUAGAAGGAAAACCUGCCUCUAUGAUAUUAGGCGCUGCAUGACACUGUCUGUGCGCUUGAACGCUCGUGAAAUGCUGGUUAUCAAAAACUGUACAUACAACUGCUCAUUUGUAUAUCCAGUUCAACAGCCUCCAGAAGCACCUAAAAAGAUUGUAACAAAUUCUUUCUAUUAUAUUCGAUGUUGCGGUAGCAUGUCCUGCAAUGAAGGAGGCCCGACCAACCUAGAAAGGGACAUUCUGCCUGAAAUACCUACCGAAGAGCCUCUGCCAGCCCACGCUGUGAAUACCCAGUCUUCAAAGGUUUUCCUCAGUUUCUUGUACAUCAUAGUCAGACGCAUCCUGACUGAACCACCCUUAUGUGGGGAGUCCAGUCAUCUCUCUCGUUCAUAGCAUCACCCUUGUGUGAGCCAGAGCCAUUGACCCACUGGGUUCAGUUGGUACAUUUCUGUUUUAUGCCAAGAUGAAAUAAGAAAAAGCAUUGUUUGCU